rnacentral:rRNA from 1 species
UACGAAGGUGGCAAGCGUUGUUCGGAUUCACUGGGCGUACAGGGUGUGUAGGCGGUUUGGUAAGCCUUCUGUUAAAGCUUCGGGCCCAACCCGGAAAGCGCAGAGGGUACUGCCAGGCUAGAGGGUGGGAGAGGAGCGCGGAAUUCCCGGUGUAGCGGUGAAAUGCGUAGAGAUCGGGAGGAAGGCCGGUGGCGAAGGCGAGUCUCUGGACAGUUACCGACGCUGAGGCACGAAGGCCAGGGGAGCAAACGGG